rnacentral:rRNA from 1 species
UACGUAGGGGGCGAGCGUUAAUCGGAAUUACUGGGCGUAAAGCGUGCGCAGGCGGUUGUGCAAGACAGAUGUGAAAUCCCCGGGCUCAACCUGGGAACUGCAUUUGUGACUGCACGGCUGGAGUGCGGCAGAGGGGGAUGGAAUUCCGCGUGUAGCAGUGAAAUGCGUAGAUAUGCGGAGGAACACCGAUGGCGAAGGCAAUCCCCUGGGCCUGCACUGACGCUCAUGCACGAAAGCGUGGGGAGCAAACAGG